AUGGAGCCUGAGAUUUGUGGCCAGUGUAAGGUCAGCCUUCUUGAUGCUGCCGACUUCCCUGCAUUCAACUUUUAUUUCCAGAUGAAAUCCUGUAUUUAUGAUUUGUUUUGCAUUGACAGUGAUUUUUUUUCCCUAAUAAAUCCAGAGCCAAUUCCACUUGUCUUAGCUCAGAACCCAUUUCCCAGAUACCCAAGAAGCAUUUAAGAAAUGCUUUCUGAGAUUAAAAUUGACUCAAAACUAGAGCACUUACCAUAAUAUUCAUCUAAGGCUCAAGUGCUCACUACAGAGUGGAUUUUUGGAGUCUUCGUAUGUAAGAAUGAUUUCCUUGAUCUUGCAGGAAACUCUGCAGGGUUCGUGUGUCCUGCUUGUGGUUAUUCUUUAGUAUGGUGCACUACCUGCGCUGGGAGCCUUAGAUUGUGUUACCUGUUAGAAGGUAUAGACGCUCGAUAGUCAAUUCACAUACAGACAAGACUGAGAGGUGUUUGAUUCCGAAGCAAACAUGUGCUUGCUUGGGACAUUAGCUGUGGCUGACCAGCUGUGGGCACUGCUUUAUAGAGCUCAGGGGCAUUAGUCAUUUUUCUUGACUGAUUACAAACAGAUGUGGUUUGUUUGUACUAAGAUGUGAAUCAUCCACAGUACCUUUCAGACAGUUUCAGAGGGAGUGUUGGAGAAAUUUGGGGACAAGAAGUAACCAGUCUCUAGAAGUACUGUCAGCCCUCCAUAUCUAUGGGUUUUGCAUCUCUGGAUUCAACCAAAUUCAGAUUGAAAAUCAUCAGAGAAACAAUUGUUAGAAAGCUCUAGGAGACCACACUUGAAUUUGCCAUGCACUGGCAGCUGUUUACAUCAUCUUUACGUUGCAUUAGGUAUCGUGAUAAACUUUUUGCUCAGUCACUAAGUCAUGU
rnacentral:lncRNA from 1 species